UGGGGAAUAUUGCGCAAUGGAGGAAACUCUGACGCAGCGACGCCGCGUGGGUGAUGAAGGCCUUCGGGUUGUAAAGCCCUGUCGGCUGGGAAAAAGGUAGACGUGCUAAUACCACGUUUGCUUGAUGGUACCAGCAAAGGAAGCACCGGCUAACUCUGUGCCAGCAGCCGCGGUAAUACAGAGGGUGCUAGCGUUGUUCGGAUUUACUGGGCGUAAAGGGCGCGUAGGCGGUUUAGAAAGUCAGAUGUGAAAGCCCGGGGCUUAACUCCGGAAGUGCAUUUGAAACUUCUAGGCUAGAGUACAGUAGAGGUUGGUGGAAUUCCCAGUGUAGAGGUGAAAUUCGUAGAUAUUGGGAGGAACACCAGUGGCGAAGGCGGCCAACUGGGCUGUAACUGACGCU
rnacentral:rRNA from 1 species